UGGGGAAUUUUGGACAAUGGGCGAAAGCCUGAUCCAGCAAUGCCGCGUGUGUGAAGAAGGCCUUCGGGUUGUAAAGCACUUUUGUCCGGAAAGAAAUGGCUCUGGUUAAUACCUGGGGUCGAUGACGGUACCGGAAGAAUAAGGACCGGCUAACUACGUGCCAGCAGCCGCGGUAAUACGCAGGGUCCAAGCGUUAAUCGGAAUUACUGGGCGUAAAGCGUGCGCAGGCGGUUGUGCAAGACCGAUGUGAAAUCCCCGAGCUUAACUUGGGAAUUGCAUUGGUGACUGCACGGCUAGAGUGUGUCAGAGGGGGGUAGAAUUCCACGUGUAGCAGUGAAAUGCGUAGAGAUGUGGAGGAAUACCGAUGGCGAAGGCAGCCCCCUGGAUAACACUGACGCUCAUGCACGAAAGCGUGGGGAGCAAACAGGAUUAGAUACCCUGGUAGUCCACGCCCUAAACGAUGUCAACUAGUUGUUGGGGAUUCAUUUCCUUAGUAACGUAGCUAACGCGUGAAGUUUGGACCGCCUGGGGAGUACGGUCGCAAGAUUAAAAGCUC
rnacentral:rRNA from 1 species